UGCAUAUGAUACCAAUACUUAUCUCUAACUAUAAGGUUACCAAUAGGCAAUCCUACUUCUUCAAAAAAGAUGGAGUAACACUAGGCUACAUAGUAGUAUAGUAGGCUACACAGUAUAAUUUAAUCUGCUAACAUUGCAGUUUAUAUAUACAAUUUUAUUUAGGAAAAAAGACCACCAUGUGUCUUUUUUCAGUAAAAUAUCAAAGAGAUAAACAGCUAAGCUUAAACUAGAGAGUGUAAAUGCUGAUUAUUCAUCCGACUUUAUGCAGAGCAUGAUAAGAUGUUAAUUGCUCAAUUGUGUAACAUUAAUGCAGUACACCUGUGUGGAAUCAUCCGUAUUUCUAAAGUUCCUCCAUCAGACUUUUCUUUUAAUCUGUCACCUGUCUGACUGCAUGUCUUGAUAAGUUACUGUACCACCAGUUUUUUAUCUGAGAGAAGUGAACCUUUAAGCCACGGUUUAUGAUGAACAAGUGAUGAGAUGUGUCAUUUGACUUAGUAAAGAUAAACACUUUUAUCCUGGGGAAUGGUGGAAUUGGAUUGAUUCUGCAAGAUGACUGGAGCCCCAGAGCAGACAUGCAACCUAUGACCCAUCAGCCACUCUGCAAAACGUUUCUGGAGUACCUGCUGUGUCAACAUGUGGUUAUUUCAGGGCUGCUUUGGAGGAGCUCUCCCCCAGCUGCCGUGCUAAUUGAGGUGCAGAGACGAGCCCCAGCCAGAUGGAAGGAAGAUGCCGCAAAUUGAUUCCUCGCAUUCGUCUUCAUUAAGGUCUCGGCUCUGGGGCGCUGGGAAGAGAAAGUGUGAGAAGGAAAGAGAAAGAAGGGAAGAGAGAGGGAAAGCGGGGCAGAAGAGACCCCCCUCCGGCCCAGAGGACUCUGCUCUGAUGAGGUGUGAGAGAAUAACACACUGCAGCAACGAGAAUACGUCUGGGACAUCUUCUAACAUCUGCCUGCAUUUCUCUGACCUUCCCCUCAGUGCUCUAGGACUAGGACUUUCUCUCUUUCUCCACGUCUCCCUUUGCUUCUCUCUUUCUCUCCUUCAAUGGACAGAGUUUGAUGUUCUAUCAGGUAUCCCUUCAAAAUCAUUCUAAAAAUGUAUUUUCAAUCAAAUUCCUAAAUUUUUUUCCAUCCAAUUUAAUCUUCAAAUCAUGCUUGUUAUUGUCAAACAAAUGUGAAAAGUAUGAUUCUUUUCAGGAAACUUUAAUCCGCUCACAUCAGCAUGGAAUAUUAUGAAACAUGAAUCUACAUGAGUUUUGUGUCUUAUGACAGUGGUCCCUGAGGAGGUGCUACAUGAGUACAAGGUGUAGGGAUUGCUGUGGUGUCCCAUGCAUUUGCUGUACACUCUGAAUAAGUGCUGCAUCUGGCAUAAAAGUCAAGCACGGUGAAUGUGGGCACUGUACUCUGACAAGGGUGUGCCCCUUAUCACCUUUCAUGUUUGCAUGUUUAUGCACAAGAUAUCAAAAUGCUGCAGAGGUCUGGAUAGUCCAGUUGGAUGACAUUAUGGUGGCAUCUCUCUUGUUUGCUGAUGAUGUUGUCCGUCUGGCUUUGUCAGAUCGUCACCUCUAAUAUGCACUGGAGGGGCUUACAGGUUGAGUGUGAUGCCGUCAGAAAUAGUAGACCAUGAGACAUUUUUUCUCAUCUGAAAAAUGUAGAUUACUUAGUCCAUGUCAAAGGGAAGCGGCCACUCUGAAACAACUAUGACCAACCUUUUCAAUACUUCAGGCCAAUGUUCAGACCAUGAAUCUUUUUGUAGCUCUAAUGGCACAUAUGUAAUAAGCAAGCACUACAUUUUAUAUGCCGCCCAAGCAACAAACGUUUGGACACCAAAUGGUUCUGUUCUACCCUUUUUACAGACUUGAAGUGUAGCUGACUUGGAAAUGGAUGGGCAAGAAAAUGAUCUCACUGUAGAUUUAAGAUUUUCUUCACUUUAUUUCAUCUUAUUUGAAUUCUGAACACUUUUUCUUUUAUGGCGGUACCUUAUUUUCUGAAUUCUAAUUUUACUUCCAUUUGUAGACUUUUUCAGUCCAUCAACAACAUCAGGUUAUCUCCUUUUCAUUGCUUGUCUUCCUGUUUUUCCUGCCAACUUCCACAGAUGUACUUUUUUUUUUACUAUUUGUUUCUCCCUUUUAUUAAAGUCUUUUCAUUGUU